GUCUUUAUAGAUGGAGUGGUAGAAUAGUAGCCACAUGCAUUGACACACAUAGAAUGAACUAUGCAUACACCAUUGCAUAUGUCACUCCUACUGGUGCAUUGACCAUGAAUGUGUCAAUGCAUGUGACGCCAAUGAAUAAUAUUUUUUAUUGGAAGCGCCAAUACAACUGGCGUCUAGGUUAUAUGUUUUUUGAAAAAUGAUUAUUUUUGUAAAUAUUUAAA
rnacentral:lncRNA from 1 species